UAUGGAACGAUGAAGAGGGAAAGUAGGAAGUAACCCGCUUAUACAGAGAGAAUCACCUAGGCUGCGAGUGGUUUUAAGCAUUGUUUCCGAAGUGCUCCUCAGAGUCUGUUAUGGAAAUUAGUACAUAACGGCGGUUCUCUACCGUUAUAAGAGCUAAGUUGGUAGGGGUUUGUGCUCUUUUCUCCCCCUUCAAACAGAGUGGAACCGCGCAUAAGCGUCUCUGUG
rnacentral:ncRNA from 1 species